AUCAGAUUUAGUUUCUUUGUGUGAGUGCUGAAACAUGAUGGGGUUUAUUCUCAUUGCUGUGGCUGUGCUCAGUCUUCUGUCUGGUGGUUGGUCAGCUCCUGUGACCAACUGUGAUGACCUAACCCAGAUUAUUGAGAUCCAAGGAAGAGAGCAGCUGCUGGGUAGAUGGACGAGCUUAGCAGAAAGCACA